rnacentral:rRNA from 1 species
CCAUGUUCCCAGGUCAGGCGUGAAU